rnacentral:rRNA from 1 species
CCUACGGGCGGCAGCAGUGGGGAAUAUUGCACAAUGGGGGAAACCCUGAUGCAGCGACGCCGCGUGAGUGAAGAAGUAUUUCGGUACGUAAAGCUCUAUCAGCAGGGAAGAAAAUGACGGUACCUGACUAAGAAGCCCCGGCUAACUACGUGCCAGCAGCCGCGGUAAUACGUAGGGGGCAAGCGUUAUCCGGAUUUACUGGGUGUAAAGGGAGCGUAGACGGCAGCGCAAGUCUGGAGUGAAAGCCCAUGGCUUAACCAUGGAACUGCUUUGGAAACUGGGCAGCUAGAGUGCAGGAGAGGUAGGCGGAAUGCCUGGUGUAGCGGUGAAAUGCGUAGAUAUUAGGAGGAACACCAGUGGCGAAGGCAGCUUACUGGACUGUAACUGACGUUGAGGCUCGAAAGCGUGGGGAGCAAACAGGAUUAGAUACCCCGGUAGUC